rnacentral:rRNA from 1 species
CACGUAGGCACCAAGCGUUGUCCGGAUUUAUUGGGCGUAAAGAGCUCGUAGGCGGUUGAGUAAGUCGGGUGUGAAAACUCUGGGCUUAACCCAGAGCCGCCACCCGAUACUGCUCUGACUUGAGUUCGGUAGGGGAGCAGGGAAUUCCUAGUGUAGCGGUGAAAUGCGCAGAUAUUAGGAGGAACACCGGUGGCGAAGGUGCUGCUCUGGGCCGAUACUGACGCUGAGGAGCGAAAGCGUGGGGAGCGAACAGG